rnacentral:tRNA from 1 species
GCAGGAUAGAGAAGCGGAAUCUCACAAGGCUCAUAUUCUUGAGAACGGCGGUUCAAUUCCGCUCCUGCA